ACCUCUGGAACUCUGGAAGAGCAGUCAGAGCUCUUAACUGUUGAGCCAUCUCUCCAGCCCCAAAACACAGUUUUUAAGCACCCUCUGAAAACACAGGCAGGCAGGAGCCCCGCAGUUUCCCUGCUGAAGCUGAAGGGAUUGCUGAAGAUUGAAGGCGAUUGCUGUGUGACUCAAGGCUGAGGCUGCGAAUCUUGGGAGUUGAAGUGAGGACGAGGGCCAGAAGCUUCCCAGCCUCUUAUAAAAAUCCAUUCACCUGACGUUAAAAGCUUCAUUCCCCGUCGUCCUGAACCUCACUCUCUGACCCCAAGAGGAUAAUGACAAGUUCUAAGAAAAUGAUGCAGCCACAGCCACAGCGGAAGCCUUUGUUGUUCUCACUUAUCCUUGCACGCAGACAUCUCUGAAAAGAGAGGCAGGUGCUAUUUGGUAAAAAGAAAAAGAAAAAAAAAAAAAAUCCUGGUCCCCACAGUAAAUGCAGAUGGGGAUGACCUUCUGAGCAUAUUUUCAUGCUGAUUCUCCCUCCCUCCUUUCUUUCCUAUUCUUUUGCAAAGGUAAUGUUAGAUAAGUUUGGAAUUGUGGAAUCUACAGCUCAACACCCACCCUUUCCCUCUACUGACUGAUUCAACUAUCUUAAAGCUGUGCUCUCCGUUAUUAAUUCACGUAAGUUGUUAAGAUGCAGACAUCCCAGUACACGACCAAACAACAGUUUCAGGGGGGUUCUGGAGUGUGUGCUUGCUUGCGUAUCCCCUUCUUCUUAUUAUCUGGAGAGAUCCUCUGGAGUCCAUCUUUGCAGACACAGCAAAUUCGCUGGCAGGAUUAAACAAUUUGGAGCUGGAUUGCAGAUGAAAGUGUUGCAGCGCCUGCAUAUCAAUGCCAGCCACAAAUCAGCACCAACAAUUGUUCCAUCAUUAGCAAAGCCUUCGAGCACUAGUGGCCUCAAUCUGCAGCCUGCUGGCGCUCUCCUCGGAUUUCUUUGACGAGAUUGCAUCCUGUUACCUUCGAAAUCUGUUCUGCCUUAUCGGCACACAGACUGACAGACUUUUAAAUUCACAUUUAGAAAAAUCUGAAAGCAGUUUGGAAACAAAACAAAACAAAACAAACCCAACCCCACUGCUGGAAAGAGUAAUGCAUCAGCCACAUUGAUUUACACUACCAAUAAACAGUGUUUAGCCAUUGGGAGCGAAUAAUAUGAUCCACUUAAUUUGAGGAGUCCUGGAAAGGAGACCUGGAUUCUGUUUGGUUUAAACAUGUGGAGUUGGUCUUCUCUAUCGCACUUCUGUUAGAUGGCUAGGCAUUAUAUGAGCUCCCACCUACACCCAUAGGAAUAAAAAAAAGGGUUAAUAUUUGGCAGGGCUUUGGUCCUCUGAGAUGAAAGGUGCUGUGGGGAUUCAAAGGCCA